rnacentral:snRNA from 1 species
AUACUUACCUGGCAGGGGAGAUACCAUGAUCCUGAAGGUGGUUUUCCCAGGGCGAGGCUCAUCCAUUGCACUCUGGAUGUGCCGACUCUUGCGAUUUCCCCAAAUGUGGGAAACUCGACUGCGUAAUUUGUGGUAGUGGUGGACUGCGUUCGUGCUCUAGUA